rnacentral:tRNA from 1 species
GGGUUUGCCGCCCUUCCUGCGUAUGACGCCACCUUCACACGGUGGAGGUCCCCGGUUCGAGUCCGGGCAGGCCCA